CCUCACUCCUCAUUCCUCACUCCUCACCUCCUCAUUCCUCACCUUCUCACAUCCUCUCUCCUCACUCCUCACCUCCUCACUCCUCACCUCCUCACUCCUCACCUCCUCACCUCCUCACCUCCUCACCUUCCUCACCCUCCUCUCCUCCUCACCCUCAGCUGCUAUUUUCUGCAGGGCCUGGGCUUCACUCUGCUGCUCCUAGCUUGCCUUGUUCUUAGUCAACAGUGAACCACAGGCCAGCUGCAGCUUCCUCAUAUUGUGAUGUAACUCAGGCAAGGGCUGGACACAGAGCUUUUACCACGCCUUCUGUCACUGAGAGCAAAACAGAGCUGUGGGGGUCUCGGCUUCCCCCACUGCACAGCAGCUCCCGAGCUGCAGGGAGAGCGGGAGUGCACGGGCACCAAACUGCGCCUCUUGGGGGUGCUGCAGCGGAUUUUCUAACAGAUAUUUUCCUCUCCUUUAUUCUAGGAUCUGGAAGAACUGUGCCUCACCUCCGUCUCUCUGCCUCUGACUGCUCCCUCUACUCCCCAGGCCUUGCUGUCAGCACCUGCAACAGAGCUGUCCCUGCUGUGGUCUGGGGAAAGUUCCAGCCAGGCCCUCUGUGGCGCAUCUAUCCCUGGGGUGGGGCAUCCAGGGUAUUGAAUCUACAAAAUGCAUCCAUUUCACCUCCAAGUCAGCUCUGUGCACACCAAGCCGUGUGCAGGAUAGGCUACCCUAGAGAGCCUGGGUACCCACGCAGCCUUCCACGAAGCCCCACCUACAUGGCUGCUGCAGGUUCUCACCAUCCUGUGCUCACCGGGAAGGCUGGCAGGUCCACACCGGAAACCAUGGGCUGGGGAGAAGCAGGGCCUUGGUGCUAGAGAGACCUGCCCAAGCAUUCUUCUGCAAGCCCCGAGACAGAGGAGUGAGCAAGCCUCAGGGGCGUGACAGGUGCUCAGGAGAGAGCAGGACACAUGCAGAACCUGGAGAGAGCCAGAGAGGGACCGGCCACAGAGAAGCCCAUCGCCUGCCAGCACUGACGUGGACGUUGGGAAAAGGUUUCUGCUGGUGGCCCAGCCCUGGCUGGGAUUCCUCACUCCCACGCCUCAAGCCUGAGAAUCCUUCCGGAAACACAAGGCUGGACCUGCACCUGCCAGGUGACCAUGGCCUCGGUGUGGGAGCAACAUGGGGAGACCUGGGUCCCUGAGUGGCCAUGACCAUCGACCUGGAGCAAUCAGCUCAGGACUGUUAGGUGGGAGCAGCAAUCAUCCAGCUCCUUCAAGCUGCAGCAUCCAGGGGUCUCUUCAUUCCAUUAUGGAUAUAGCCUAAGAAAUGGUGACAGUAAAGGGUCUCAUACAACACGUCCCAUUUUUAUUAAUUUUAAUAAAUAGGAG
rnacentral:lncRNA from 1 species